UCGAGAAUCUUCGGCAAUGGGGGAAACCCUGACCGAGCGACGCCGCGUGUGAGAUGAAGGCCUUCGGGUUGUAAAUCACUGUCGUAGAGGAGGAAAUGUUAGUGGGUUCUCCCAUUAAUUUGACCUAUUCUAGGAGGAAGGACGGGCUAAGUUCGUGCCAGCAGCCGCGGUAAUACGGACCGUCCAAACGUUAUUCGGAAUUACUGGGCUUAAAGGGUGCGUAGGCGGUCCGGGAAGUUGGGUGUGAAAUACCUCGGCUCAACCGAGGAACUGCGCCCAAAACUGCCGGGCUUGAGGGAGACAUAGGUGUGCGGAACGUAGGGUGGAGCGGUGAAAUGCGUUGAGAUCCUAGGGAACACCAGUAGCGAAAGCGGCACACUGGGUCUUUUCUGACGCUGAUGCGCGAAAGCCAGGGGAGCGAAGA
rnacentral:rRNA from 1 species